rnacentral:lncRNA from 1 species
UAUGGCAUAAAUCUCAGAUCAGUGAGGAAGAGUCCUAGGGAAUUGGAGACGUCGCGAAGGAAUGUUGUUCUGAGCACUGAUUUCAUCAAGCCGAUGGAGGCAACAACAUAUUCCUUAGGGAAAAUUAAGAUGCACAGUAUGCUUCAAGAUGAUGGCCAAGAACAACCAACUCAACGAGCCUUCAGGAAUUCAUGAUUUGAAUAUCAUGUUCAAGGCUGCCUUCUAGAUAAAGAUCAAACCAAGAAAGUCCAUGUGUCACUGCUCCGUGAAGGCUCCGGGUGGAACUCCCUGCCCCACUCCACCUUUAAGAUUUCCAGCACAGUGUCUUCACCUCCUUCAGCGCCCCUGUUUACAUGUCCAUCUCUCUCUUUAGAAGCUACAGACAUCAGCAAACUCGAGAAAAGAAGGUUUGCUCUGGGAGAUUCUACAUGUGACCUGUUUAUAUGUAAUUAUAUUAUCUAUUACUCAAGUAUUUGUCUUGUGCUGUCUAAAUUAUAAGCUUCUCAACUGUUUGCCUUGAGUGAGAUGUGCACGCUAAAGCCUCUCAAUAAAUAUUAAUUGAAUGAAUAAUUGAAAAAAACCCUGACUGCCUUUUUACUUAAAUCCAAGCCUUUGCUAAGUUUUAACUUUC